rnacentral:misc_RNA from 1 species
GAAAUGCGAUAAGUAAUGUGAAUUGCAGAAUUCAGUGAAUCAUCGAAUCUUUGAACGCACCUUGCGCUCCUUGGUAUUCCUUGGAGCAUGCCUGUUUGAGUAUCAUGAAAUCUUCAAAGUAAAUCUUUUGUUAACUCAAUUGGUUUCUACUUUGGUAUUGGAGGUCUUUGCAGCUUCACACCUGCUCCUCUUUGUUCAUUAGCUGGAUCUCAGUGUUAUGCUUGGUUCCACUCGGCGUGAUAAGUUAUCUAUCGCUGAGGACACUGUAAAAGGUGGCCAAGGUAAAUGCAGAUGAACCGCUUCUAAUAGUCCAUUGACUUGGACAAUACUUUUAUGAUCUGAUCUCAAAUCAGGUAGGACACCCGCUGAACUUAAGC